GCUGAGCUUUCACUAGUCGGUCUUAGAAAAGCUUCGCCUAUGUUUUAAUACAACACGCUUCAGUUUAGAAUGUAAUCAUUGCUAACAAUGCAAAUUAAAUACAACUUUCACGCAACCGGAUCUCUUGAGCUCUCGCAUCGAUGAAGAACGCAGCGAAAUGCGAUAAGUAAUGUAGAAUUGCAGAAUUCAGUGAAUCAUCGAAUCUUUGAACGCACCUUGCGCUCUUUGGUAUUCCGAAGAGCAUGCCUGUUCGAGUGUCAUGGUAUCAUCAACCUCCAACACUUUUGUGAUUGACAGGCUUGGAUUUGGAGGUUGUGUCGGUGCAUUAUGUAUCGAGAUCCUCUGAAAUGUAUUAGCGUGAAUCUUACGGAUACGCCUUCGGUAGUGAUAAUUACUGCGACCGUGGACGUGAAAGUCAUAACAGUGUUCGUGCUUACAAUCGUCUAUUAACAGAGACAACACAUUUGACGAGUCGUGACCUCAAAAUCAGGUAGGAUUACCCGCUGCAACUUAAGCAUAUCAAUA
rnacentral:rRNA from 1 species